CUCAUUUAACUUGGCCUUUGGAAGACGCUUGUGGAAAUUUCUGCAAAGGAGGUGACAUCAGUUGUUGUCACAGCUGCUGUCUUUACAUUCUCAUUAAAUCAAAAAUGAUACCAGAACUGCAGAAGUAACAACUCAUCUGAAAGAUGGAGUCAACUGGAAAAAAGGAGAAAUGGCAGCAGUCAAUAAGAGAAAUCUGGGUCUUCUUCACUUCAGGCAUUCAGUAAGGAAGAGGAGACAGCACAGGAGUUCUCAUGAAUUUUCAGCAAUGAGUCCGUAUGGGAAUAAUUUCAUUGUAAGAAGAAGGCUUCCAUUCUAUCAUGAAAAAAGGCUGCAUGGAAAUGACGGAAAGCUACAGAAGAAACUAUCAGUCAUUGUUUGAAAGCAUUGUGGCCUAUGGAGAUGGAAACCAGAAUGUGGAUUUGCCUUCAAAUUUUAUAAGCUUCUAGAAACCCAAAUGAUGAGAAACAAAUGCGAAAAGUUCACAAAAGCAGUGGUUGCUUAAAAAAAAAUAAUUCUUAAAGCCCUGUUGCUUUUAUGAUGAACAGACUUAGCGAGAAGGAUAUUAAUUAUCUUGAAUACCAUUGUUUAAGCAGGUAGAGCUAUUCCCAGUAUUUUUUGGUUGCCACCUAGAUUAGUAUUAUACUCCUCAGUUGCUAACAAUGAAGUUAUCAGCCACUGGAACAAAUUAUUAAAAGGAACAGUGAGCUUACCAUUUCUUGAAGUCUGCAAACUGAGAGUGGAUGGUAUACUUUAGCAAACAAUGGAGACACAGCUGGGUGAAAUUAUAUGGUUGUACUAAAGAGAAGGGAACAUGAGAUAUUCUAUGUGGUCCUUUCUAGCCUUAAGAGCGAUAGGUUUAUAAUUUCACAAAUAUUGUUACAAAGAACUCCUCAGAAGUAGUGAUGACCAUAGCACCAGUCUGAAUCCAUCUCCUGAUUUGGGGUAGAUUAUUCCAAAGUAUUUUAAAAAAUUACAGACUGUAGUACUGUUUCUACAUGUUUCUGUCAUCACAAGUCAUACUACUAGCAUAAUUUUAAAAUAUUGGAAAUCCCUUUUUGAGGACUAGAGAGAUCCUUCCUCUCCCCUAAAGAGCUCAGUGUACUUCAGUGCAUGAAAGAGUCUAUAAAGUAAGCGUGCAUGCUGUUGCUUUCCUAUCUGAUGCAUUUCAGUCAUUGAAAUCUGAAAUAAAUAAGCUAGAUUCACUCAGUGAAAUAAAAGACAAUCCACGAAGGAAAUUCUAAGAUACUUCUCAUUAUUGUAGACCAUUUCUAAGCUAAACUUUGGUAUUCCUCUCCUUGUAAGGUGAUCUGGCACACUGCUUAAAAGAUUAUUUUUCUUUUUUUUUCCUAUAGCAGUCCUCCAGCUGAGAACAGCUAAACCAUUUUUUUCCCCCCAUAUUUCCAGUGUUUUGGAGCAUUGGGCACUGCAGAAACGUAAAUCUAGUGGGACAGUUGGAAUUUUGGGGAAGAUGUACCUGACUGAACAGCUGGACAUGAAAGGAAAUAGCUCUUCAAUGUUGAGAUGUAUUUUUCUUGCUGUAAAGAAAGAAGGAAUUAAGUGACUACAUGUUUGGCAGAAAGGCCUUGCCAUUUCAUGAUGGCUCUCAAACAUCAUCUUUAUAACUCCAUUGAACUGUUUCUCUGAUAAAAAAACCUGUAGCCUACACUACAAAGGGCUUUGAGUAUGUGUAUAGCAUAUACUGUUAUCAGCAAUCACCACCAUGGUCACAAAAGUUAUUCCCUCAGUAUGAUUGAACCAUCUCAUUAAUCAUAAGACAAAAUUACUCCAGUGCCAGUAUAUUUUCCAUCCACAGAGGUGGGUUUGGCAGCAUAGCUAGGACAGCAUAGUUGAUGUCCUAACUAACACUAGAAGAUCUGAAAAAACAUCAUGGUAUAGCUUUUCAACUAUUUCAGGGAAAACUGAUGAUUUUGUGUCCAGAAUGGAUAUGCAUAAUACCAGAGGCAGAUUUUUAGUUUUUAGAUUGUACUCAAUGGCCAGUUACCCUUGUUUCUGUGAAUGUCUAAAACUCUCUUUGUGGCUCACUUAUAUAUAUGUACAUUGUGCCUAAAUAAAUAUCUCAACUGUCCCUCAGCUGGAGGGCUCUUUGCAAGACAUGCUUUAGCCAAACAGUGUGUCACUCAGAUACAAUGAAGGGAGCACAAUACAAGAGAGCCCAGAUUGCUUUAUCAAGCAGUCUCUUCUGGUCUUAAGUUUCAUAAAUUUAUAACUUGUGCUGAUUCAAAUAUGUUCAACUUUCUCUUGCUACCAUGUUUUGUGCUCUUGAGAAAAGAUGACUGGAAAAGCUGGAUGCUGAAAAAGAGGAGUGACCUUUGACUGCUCUUAAGCUUUUCAAAUAUAUUAUCCUUUAAAAAAACCCACCAACCCAGUUUGUCACAACAGUUUCAGCAUCAACAGUGACUAAUCUGUUUG